CCUACGGGUGGCAGCAGUGAGGAAUAUUGGUCAAUGGGCGCGAGCCUGAACCAGCCAAGUAGCGUGAAGGAUGACUGCCCUACGGGUUGUAAACUUCUUUUAUAAAGGAAUAAAGUGCGGCACGUGUGCCUUUUUGUAUGUACUUUAUGAAUAAGGAUCGGCUAACUCCGUUCCAGCAGCCGCGGUAAUACGGAGGGUGCAAGCGUUGUCCGGAUUUAUUGGGCGUAAAGGGUUCGUAGGUGGCAUAUUAAGUCUGGUGUUAAAUGCAGCAGCUCAACUGUUUUUCGGCAGUGGAUACUGGUAAGCUUGAAUGCGGUAGAGGUAAAGGGAAUUCCUGGUGUAGCGGUGAAAUGCGUAGAUAUCAGGAGGAACACCGGUGGCGUAAGCGCUUUACUGGGCCGUAAUUGACGCUGAGGAACGAAAGUCGGGGUAGCAAACGGGAUUAGAUACCCGGGUAGUC
rnacentral:rRNA from 1 species